rnacentral:rRNA from 1 species
GACGAACGCUGGCGGCGUGCUUAACACAUGCAAGUCGAACGGAAAGGCCCUGCUUUUGUGGGGUGCUCGAGUGGCGAACGGGUGAGUAAAACGUGAGGAACCUGCCCUUGACUUUGGGAUAACUUCAGGAAACUGGGGCUAAUACCGGAUAGGAGCUCCUGCUGCAUGGGGGGGGUUGGAAAGUUUCGGCGGUUGUGGAUGGACUCGCGGCUUAUCAGCUUGUUGGUGGGGUAGUGGCUUACCAAGGCUUUGACGGGUAGCCGGCCUGAGAGGGUGACCGGGGACAUGGGGACUGAGAUACGGCGCAGAAUCGUACGGGAGGCAGUAGUGGGGAAUCUUGCAGAAUGGGCGGAAGUCUGAUGUGGCAACGUGGCGUGCGGGAAAAUGUCCUUCGGGUUGUGAACCGCUUUGGACUGUGCCGAAGAGUGAGUGACGGUAAUGGGUAAAGAAGCACCGGCUAACUACGUG